GCCCUCUUAACUCAGUCGGUAGAGUGUUCGGCUUUUAACCGAAAUGUCGUGGGUUCGAGCCCCACAGAGGGUG